rnacentral:lncRNA from 10 species
GUUAGGUCGUUCUUUCAUGGUUGUAAAGAAAUAGCCAAGACUGGGUAAUUUAUUAAGAAAAGAGGUUUAAUUAGCUCACAGUUCUGUUCUGCAGGCUUUACAGGAAGCUUGGUAUUGGUAUCUGUUUGGCGUCUAGGGAGGCCUCAGGAAGCUUCCAAUCAUGGCAGAGGGUGAAGGGGGAGCAGGUACAUCACAUGGCAAAAGCAGGAGCAACAGAGAGAGUGAGGGUGGAGGUGCCACACACUUUUAAACAACCAGAUCUUGUGAGAACCCACUCACUAUGGUGAGGACAGCAUCAAGCCACAAGUGAUCCACCCCCAUGACCAAAACACCUCCCACCAGGCUCCACCUUCAACACUGGGGAUUACAUUUCAACAUGAGAUUUGGACGAGGACAAACAUGCAAACUAUAUCAGUCAGUUAUUUAAUUUCGUCAGAAUAUAUCUUCUAAAGGUGGCUGUUGGGAAAGCAAGGCUUUCUCUUCCAAGAAGAAAAAAAAGACAUCUUUACUGAAGUUUUUGAAAAAAGUAUGUGAAUGGUGAGAUGGUCUAAAAGGAAAAGACUAGAGGAAGCAGGGAAAAACCAAGGCUAUUCGACCAUAAAGAAAGGAGCCAAACAGCAGAGCCCUGUUACAUACUGAAUUUCUCACCCCCACCCCAUCACUAUCCACCAAGGAAGGCCCUUUUGUCCCCAGCUAAGCCCCAGUCCCAGGUUUACCCACUGCAAUGGCUUUAUUCAACUACUCUUGCUAAUUUCAGUUUACUCUUUCUUUAUUUUAUAUCAGUUUUAGCUUUAUUAUUAUAUAAAUACACAAAGUUUAUUUAAC